UGGGAAUCUGCCUUUUGGUUUGGAAUAACACGGGGAAACUUGUGCUAAUACCAAAUAAGCCCUUACGGGGAAAGUUUUAACGCCGAAAGAUGAGCCCGCACUUGAUUAGCUAGUUGGUAAGGUAAAGGCUUACCAAGGCAACGAUCAAUAGCUGUUCUUAGAGGAAGACCAGCCACAUUGGGACUGAGACACGGCCCAGACUCCUACGGGAGGCAGCAGUGGGGAAUCUUGCACAAUGGGGGAAACCCUGAUGCAGCGAUGCCGCGUGAGUGAAGAAGGCCUUUGGGUUGUAAAACUCUUUCGUCGGGGAAGAAAAUGACUGUACCCGAAUAAGUAGGUCCGGCUAACUUCGUGCCAGCAGCCGCGGUAAUACGAAGGGACCUAGCGUAGUUCGGAAUUACUGGGCUUAAAGAGCUCGUAGGUGGUUAAAAAAGUUGAUGGUGAAAUCCCAAGGCUCAACCUUGGAACUGCCAUCAAAACUUUUUAGCUAGAGUGUGAUAGAGGUAAGUGGAAUUUCUAGUGUAGAGGUGAAAUUCGUAGAUAUUAGAAAGAACACCAAAUGCGAAGGCAACUUACUGGGUCACUACUGACACUGAGGAGCGAAAGCAUGGGUAGCGAAGAGGAUUAGAUACCCUCGUAGUCCAUGCCGUAAACGAUGUGUGCUAGACGUUGGA
rnacentral:rRNA from 1 species